AGGCUACACUAGAGUUAGUCCUCGGCUCAGAAGAAGGGACUGGCUCCCGGAUGUUAGCGGCGGACGGGUGAGUAACACGUGGGUAACCUGCCUGUAAGACUGGGAUAACUCCGGGAAACCGGAGCUAAUACCGGAUAGUUCCUUGAACCGCAUGGUUCAAGGAUGAAAGACGGUUUCGGCUGUCACUUACAGAUGGACCCGCGGCGCAUUAGCUAGUUGGUGAGGUAACGGCUCACCAAGGCGACGAUGCGUAGCCGACCUGAGAGGGUGAUCGGCCACACUGGGACUGAGACACGGCCCAGACUCCUACGGGAGGCAGCAGUAGGGAAUCUUCCGCAAUGGACGAAAGUCUGACGGAGCAACGCCGCGUGAGUGAUGAAGGUUUUCGGAUCGUAAAGCUCUGUUGUUAGGGAAGAACAAGUGCAAGAGUAACUGCUUGCACCUUGACGGUACCUAACCAGAAAGCCGCGGCUAACUACGUGCCAGCAGCCGCGGUAAUACGUAGGUGGCAAGCGUUGUCCACAAUUAUUUCGCGUAAAGGUCUCGGGGGCGGGGUUCAUUACAGUUAGCAAUGUGAGGGGCCCCCGGGCUGGCGCCGCGAGGGUCAUUGGUGGAGCUGGGGAAGCUUGGGGGUGCAAAAGAGG
rnacentral:rRNA from 1 species